AGAGGUAUCUGGUGCUGAAUUUGGUAGGGUGGAUUAGGAUCCAAUCCCCCACAACUGCAAAUUGGGUUAAAUAAAGGGGUUACACCAACUUAUGUACCAGAGCCCCAUGCUUAAGAGCAUAAUCACUAACCGGUCACUUUACUAUGAGUAUGUACGGAUAACGGGCUUAAUGUGAUUGCACCUGAAUGAAAAGGACUUGAUGAAAACGAAAAGAAUGCCUAGGUAUGGUGGGGUAAUGUGGAUUGAUUUGUAUUAGAGUGAAAGGAAGGAAGGAGAGAAAAGAGAGAGAGAGAGAGAAAGUGGAUCUGAAUUCUGUUAUGUAUUGAUUCUGUUUGUUAUAUAUUUUUAUUCUGUUACAGUGAAUAGGAUAUAUAUAGGUAUUAUAACCUGUGCCACUACUGGACUUAACCUACACCACACACACUAACUAACUACACGUUAGUUAUGAUGACAUGGCACUCUAGAAUAUACACUAAUACUCCCCCACAAGUUCAAGGUGGCUGCAAAGUCAGGCUUGAGGCAGACAAGUUGAGCUUGCUUCUGAGCUCCAGAAAUCUUGAACUUCAAAGACUUCCCAUAAAGGAAAGUAUUUACGCUCUUGUCAUGAAUAGAUCAAAAUGAGUCUUGAGGUCAUUACAGGGAGAGCCAGCCGUUGAGGUUACAAAUGAAGGUGUUGAUGCUGCAGGGCAUACAAUUGGUACAUUUUUGGAGGUCGUGUUCAAACUUAGGAAGGUUCUCAACCCCAAGAGUGUGAUCAAACCAACAUCACUAGCUAAAGAUUAUUUUGAAUCCACAACUAACUAGAUCGUCCGAUGCU